AACGAACGCUGGCGGCAUGCCUAACACAUGCAAGUCGAACGAGACCUUCGGGUCUAGUGGCGCACGGGUGCGUAACGCGUGGGAACCUGCCCUUAGGUUCGGAAUAACUCCCCGAAAGGGGUGCUAAUACCGGAUAAUGUCUUCGGACCAAGGAUUUAUCGCCUUUGGAUGGGCCCGCGUUGGAUUAGCUAGUUGGUAGGGUAAAAGUCUACCAAGGCGACGAUCCAUAGCUGGUCUGAGAGGAUGAUCAGCCACACUGGGACUGAGACACGGCCCAGACUCCUACGGGAGGCAGCAGUGGGGAAUAUUGGACAAUGGGCGAAAGCCUGAUCCAGCAAUGCCGCGUGAGUGAUGAAGGCCUUAGGGUUGUAAAGCUCUUUUACCCGGGAUGAUAAUGACAGUACCGGGAGAAUAAGCUCCGGCUAACUCCGUG
rnacentral:rRNA from 1 species